CUAAAACUACUCUUUAAAAAAAUGAAGUAUACUUUUAAAAAAGAUAGGCAAGGGCUAAAUAAGCCUUUGGAUUUGAAUAUUGUACAACAUUCUUUGCUUAUGUGUCAGUUGAAUGCUUAAAUGUAUUCAACUCACUUAAUGGUCACAGGUGCCAAAUGUGUCACUACAGUUAUUACAAAUGAGUCCUAAUUUACACAGGAACCAAAGAUAAGUGAGGGCAUGUGUCCAAAGGCACACAGCAAGCGAUAAAGAAUUGUCUCAUCUCAGCGCCAUAGUCUAUUCUCUGAACUACCCUGCUUUAGCUCACAAAAUAUGCUUUGGCAAGAGUCUUCUCAAGAUUACAACCAGCCUCCAGAUUGUUUAGUCAACUGAAGGAUGGACAUGUUUAACCAAUCUUAAAAAAAUAAAUGUCAGAAGCAGCAUUUUAUUGUGUUGGCAACUAGUACCCAAUUUCUGGUACCUUCUGCAUCCUGUUGGAGCUGUGACACAUCAUUUCACUUUUUUAAUGAGUACAUAGUAAUGUUUAAGUAAAACUGUGAGGCAGGAUAGAAUUGUAGUAUAGGUAAUGGAGUUAGAUCUGAGUGUGAAUUUGUCUCCAUUGCUUAACAGUGAGUAUGUUACUUAAGAUCUACCUUCAAAGCCUGACAUAGUAAACAUAAAAAAAUGAGACCAAAAUUCCUAAGCCAGAAAAACAGUUCAACUACCCAAACACCAGUUUUUAUGAAAUAAUGAUUAUGCAGAAUGGUUGACACAUUUAUGAGAAGGUGGUUCCUAAUUAGCAAUGUUUUCUUGAAACAGCUAUAUAGGAUUCUUUUCACUGAGGCAUAAAGUUGUGAAAUCUAAAUUAUAGUCUGGCUGCUCAUUCUGCAAAAGCUUAGGCAAGCCUAUAUCCUGC
rnacentral:lncRNA from 1 species